UUAAAAAUUAAUACAUUCGUUCAGAAAUUUGAAUUUGGUUUGUAUUAAAAUACUAUAACAUAAAUAUAAUGUAAUAACAAAUUAUUAUAAUUACAAAAUAAUAAUAUUAUAAAACUUUUAUUAUUAUUACUUGAUACGACAACUGUAAAUAUUAAAAAAAAACUUUUAGGCAAUUGCAUGAAUAACAAUUUACUAUAGCAUACUUUUAGGAACUUAUCACACUAAAUAUCGCUCAUUUGCUGCAAGACCGGCAUAAAUGAAAAAACGUGAUUUUUGAGUUAAAGCUGCAGAAUUGUUCGUUAUAUCAUACUUCAUGUUGAGUGAAAAAUUCAUAUGAAUACCUCUUAUAUGCUCCGCUUGAGAAGAGGUGUAAGGUUGUUGUCACCGUGUAAGGUUGUAGUCAGUUGAAAACUUUAAACGCGUUUUCUGGAAAAUCGAUUUUUUUGACUUAU